AACCUGCCCAAGAGAUCGGGAUAACACCUGGAAACAGAUGCUAAUACCGGAUAACAACAGAUGAUGCCUAUCAACUGUUUAAAAGAUGGUUCUGCUAUCACUCUUGGAUGGACCUGCGGUGCAUUAGCUAGUUGGUAGGGUAACGGCCUACCAAGGCGAUGAUGCAUAGCCGAGUUGAGGGACUGAUCGGCCACAUUGGGACUGAGACACGGCCCAAACUCCUACGGGAGGCAGCAGGU
rnacentral:rRNA from 1 species